rnacentral:rRNA from 1 species
AUUGAACGCUGGCGGCAGGCUUAACACAUGCAAGUCGAGCGGAGAUGAGGUGCUUGCACCUUAUCUUAGCGGCGGACGGGUGAGUAAUGCUUAGGAAUCUGCCUAUUAGUGGGGGACAACACUCCGAAAGGAAUGCUAAUACCGCAUACGCCCUACGGGGGAAAGCAGGGGAUCUUCGGACCAUGCGCUAAUAGAUGAGCCUAAGUCGGAUUAGCUAGUUGGUGGGGUAAAGGCCUACCAAGGCGACGAUCUGUAGCGGGUCUGAGAGGAUGAUCCGCCACACUGGGACUGAGACACGGCCCAGACUCCUACGGGAGGCAGCAGUGGGGAAUAUUGGACAAUGGGCGGAAGCCUGAUCCAGCCAUGCCGCGUGUGUGAAGAAGGCCUUUUGGUUGUAAAGCACUUUAAGCGAGGAGGAGGCUACCUGGAUUAAUACUCUAGGAUAGUGGACGUUACUCGCAGAAUGAGCACCGGCUAACUCUGUGCCAGCCGCCGCCGUAA